rnacentral:lncRNA from 1 species
GUGAUAUAACUGCUGAGGCUAAUAGUUCCCAUGUAGAUGCUGCUGCCUGGCCCCAACUAUGGGAUCCUUUGUGUCAGGACAAGAAGAGAGUGUAAUCUUGCAGUCACACAUAUUCUCUUCCUACUGUGUAUUUCCGGAAAUAUAUUCUGGGUACAUGUCCAUAGGGAACAAGAGGUACCCCCAAUGUGUGGUGGUUUGAAUAAGAAUGGACCUCACAGGAUCAUAUAUUUGAAUGCUUGGCCCAUAAUUGCCGAAAGUGUUUGGGAAGGAUUAGGAGGUGUGGCCAUGUUGAAGGAGGUGUAUCACUGGGAGCAGGCUUUGAGAUUUCAAAAGGCCUUGAUACUUGCCUGUUUGCCUGCUGCCAUGUUCCCCACCAUGAUGGUUGUGGACUCACUCUCUGAAAUGUUCCAGGAGCCGAAUUGGAUCCAAACAAACAGAUCUAAGAGGUGCAAGGGAGUUCCAUACAGCUUGGACUGCAAUGAAACAACCAGCUGCCCCAGGACAUGGCAGCAUCCCAACCUUCUCGGGUCCCCCAAAGAUGCUCAACGCCCCCCAGGUCAGCAGGAAGCAGUCUUGAGAAUUUGACACCUUAUUCCUUAAUCUACCAUGUCUAACACCACACCUUUUAAUAAAAAGUGACCCGUCCCGAAGGUCCAGU